rnacentral:rRNA from 1 species
UACAGAGGUCCCGAGCGUUGUUCGGAUUCAUUGGGCGUAGAGGGUGCGUAGGCGGUUUUUUAAGUUUGAUGUGAAAUCCCGGGGCUUAACCCUGGAAUUGCAUUGAAUACUGAAGAACUAGAGUACUGGAGAGGAAACUGGAAUUUACGGUGUAGCAGUGAAAUGCGUAGAGAUCGUAAGGAAGACCAGUGGCGAAGGCGAGUUUCUGGACAGUUACUGACGCUGAGGCACGAAGGCCAGGGGAG